rnacentral:rRNA from 1 species
AGCAGCCGCGGUAAUUCCAGCUCCAAUAGCGUAUAUUAAAGUUGUUGCAGUUAAAAAGCUCGUAGUUGAAUUUCGGGGUUAGUACGUUGGUCGUGCCUUCGGUACGUACUGGUGUUACUGAUUCCUACCUUCUGACGAACCAUCAUGUCAUUAAUUUGGUGUGGUGGGGAAUCAGGACUGUUACUUUGAAAAAAUUAGAGUGUUUAAAGCAGGCUCGCGCUUGAAUACAUUAGCAUGGAAUAAUGAAAUAGGACGUUGAUCCUAUUUUGUUGGUUUCUAGGAUUGACGUAAUGAUUAAUAGGGAUAGUUGGGGGCAUUAGUAUUCAAUUGUCAGAGGUGAAAUUCUUGGAUUUAUUGAAGACUAACUACUGCGAAAGCAUUUGCCAAGGAUGUUUUCAUUAAUCAAGAACGAAAGUUAGGGGAUCGAAGACGAUCAGAUACCGUCGUAGU